CCUGACUGUUACUGUCCCAGUACACACUGGGGGGACUAGGGUCAGUUAUCAUUAACCUGACUCUUACUGCCCCAGAACACACUGGGGGUAUUAGGGGCAGUUAUUAUUACCGUGGUGGUAUUAGGGGCAGUUAUUAUACUCUGACUGUAACUGCCCCAGCACACACUAGAGGUAUUAGGGGCAAUUAUUAUUAUUAUGGGGCUAUUAGGGGCAGUUAUUAUUACCCUGACUGUUACUGCCCCAGCACACAC